CGCGGGGCGGCUGGGUGGUUCAGGUGACGGACAGCUAAUCCGCUGCGUUCAGCAUGCCUGGGUUCGAAUCCCAUCCUUGUCA
rnacentral:tRNA from 1 species